UAACCUGGGGAAACCCAGGCUAAUACCGCAUACGUCCUACGGGAGAAAGGGGGCUUCGGCUCCCGCUAUUGGAUGAGCCUAUGUCGGAUUAGCUAGUUGGUGAGGUAAAGGCUCACCAAGGCAACGAUCCGUAGCUGGUCUGAGAGGAUGAUCAGCCACAUCGGGACUGAGACACGGCCCGAACUCCUACGGGAGGCAGCAGUGGGGAAUAUUGGACAAUGGGCGCAAGCCUGAUCCAGCCAUGCCGCGUGUGUGAAGAAGGCCUUCGGGUUGUAAAGCACUUUCAGCGAGGAAGAACGCCUAGCGGUUAAUACCCGCUAGGAAAGACAUCACUCGCAGAAGAAGCACCGGCUAACUCCGUGCCAGCAGCCGCGGUAAUACGGAGGGUGCAAGCGUUAAUCGGAAUUACUGGGCGUAAAGCGCGCGUAGGUGGCUUGAUAAGCCGGUUGUGAAAGCCCCGGGCUCAACCUGGGAACGGCAUCCGGAACUGUCAAGCUAGAGUGCAGGAGAGGAAGGUAGAAUUCCCGGUGUAGCGGUGAAAUGCGUAGAGAUCGGGAGGAAU
rnacentral:rRNA from 1 species